CACGUAGGGUGCGAGCGUUGUCCGGAAUUAUUGGGCGUAAAGAGCUCGUAGGCGGUGUGUCGCGUCGGCCGUGAAACCGUGCAGCUUAACUGUGGGCUUGCGGUCGAUACGGGCAUCACUGGAGUUCGGCAGGGAGACUGGAAUCCUGGUGUAGCGGUGAAUGCGGCAGAGUAUCAGGAGGAACGACCGGUGGCGAAGGCGGGUCUCUAGGCCGG
rnacentral:rRNA from 1 species